GGCAGAUGGGGUAAAAUGUCCCCCAGGGGUGUUUAUCCUCAGCUGAGGCGUCCAGACUGAGGCAGACACGGCCUGACACCUGAGCUCCGCCGCUGUCACUCUUUACAGCAAAUCUGCUUGUGAGCCAUUUGAGAUUCAUUAAAUAUUGAAGAGCCACAGUUUCCGUUCCGUGAGAAGAAGAGAAGGGGUUAGAGAGACACAAUGAAAGAGCAGAUCCAACAAAAAGAGGUUGAACACACGGAAACGGGAGGUCAGCGAAAUGGCAGGGACUGUGAAUGGCGGUCAAGCGGCCCAAAUGGGAACGAGUCCAACUGACCAAAGCAGCAGUGAACAAAACUCUCCACAGGACCAACAGGAGAAGGCCUGCUCAUGCGAGGAUGGGAGCUGUUGUGUUAGUGAGAGUGUCAAACAGCAGAAACCCGAAUCCACUCAGACCCCAAACAUUACACAGGCCUUGGCAGCGACUCCUGUACACACACACAGUACGUCUGAAACUGCUGAUAAAUGCGUACACUGAUGAUCAGACCGAUAAGGUACAUUAAAAGUGCUGAACAGUUUGUCCUUGUGCAAAUUUUCAGCACUGAAAUGCAAAUGCUGUUUAUACAGGUGCAUGACGGGAAACAAAGGCCGGCACACAGGCUGUUUACUUUGGGCUAUUUUCGGGGUGUCUGUUCUGUGGUCAAAAUAAAACCUUGUAGAAACAGC
rnacentral:lncRNA from 1 species